rnacentral:rRNA from 1 species
ACACCGGCAGCUCUAGUGGUAGCUGUUUUUAUUGGGCCUAAAGCGUUCGUAGCCGGUUUGAUAAGUCACUGGUGAAAUCCUGUAGCUUAACUGUGGGAAUUGCUGGUGAUACUGUUGAACUUGAGGUCGGGAGAGGUUAGCGGUACUCCCAGGGUAGAGGUGAAAUUCUGUAAUCUUGGGAGGACCACCUGUGGCGAAGGCGGCUAACGGGAACGAACCUGACGGUGAGGGACGAAAGCUAGGGGCGCGAACCGGAUUAGAUACCCGGGUAGUCCUAGCCGUAAACGAUGCGGACUUGGUGUUGGGAUGGCUUUGAGCCGCUCCGGUGCCGAAGGGAAGCUGUUAAGUCCGCCGCCUGGGAAGUACGGUCGCAAGACUGAAACUUAAAGGAAUUGACGGGG